UACGGAGGGGACUAGCGUUGUUCGGAAUUACUGGGCGUAAAGCGCACGUAGGCGGAUUUGUAAGUCAGGGGUGAAAUCCCGGGGCUCAACCUCGGAACUGCCUUUGAUACUGCAAAUCUCGAGUCCGGAAGAGGUGAGUGGAAUUCCUAGUGUAGAGGUGAAAUUCGUAGAUAUUAGGAAGAACACCAGUGGCGAAGGCGGCCUGCUGGGCUGUUGCUGACGCUGAGGCGCGACAGCGUGGGGGAGCAAACAGG
rnacentral:rRNA from 1 species